AGAGCAGAUAGGAGACAAGUAUGGAAACAAAUUAAAAACUGCAUCAAUGGAAUACCUAUAGAUUGUACAGCCACAGUUUUAUUUUCCUGUAUUGGUAACACAUGUGGACACCUGAAUGUUGAUUCCAGUUUUUUGUUUUUUUGUUUUUUUUGAUUAUCAGCAUUCUAAUUGUUACAGUAGACAUUGUUGAAUUCUUUCUACUUCUAGUCAUGGUUGUGCUGUUUCUAUAGAGGUGCAGGAUUUUAUAUUGCAGUGAAAAAUGAGCUUAUUUAAAAUGUGACAGGAGCAAAGAAACGCCCAGAAACCGCUCGGGGUUGAGAGGUUUAAAACGCAUCAAGCAGAGUUUAAAUACCACCGCCUUUCUGGAUAUUGCUGCUAAACAUGUGCAUCAACUGCUGGCCACAGUUUACCAUCUUCUAAUAGUUGGAUCAAUAUAUAAUAGUGUGACAUUUUGUAACACAGUUGACAGGUAUCAGAGGUGACAUUUUUGCUGUUUUCAGGACUAAAAUCAAUAAGGCCGCCUAAAACCAAACACCACAUGGCAUUUUUACACAAAGAUUCUUCUGCAAUCUCGUUAUACAUUGUAUAAUGACAAUAAAGAAUAUUCUAUUCUAUUCUAUUCUAUUCUAAAUAUUAUAUAUACAACUGAGUAAAAUUGAAAUUGAAAGUUAUUUAUAAAGCUAUUGUAGUAAACCUGUUGACUACUUUAUAUUAAAUAAGUCAGAAAGCCUUGGAGUCUGGCCAGUCUUUUCUUCAGGAGGAAAUGACAUCAUGUGGAGCAGGUCAUGUGAUCUGGAAGUAACACACUUCCUUGAGAGGUGUUUUUGUAAUGGGGAACUUAGUUGAAAGCGAUUUCUCAGACACAGAAAUUUGAUAUAUUGCCAACAAAGAAAUAUCUGUCAUGAUGAUCUCAAUUUAACAAAAAGAACACAAUCAAAACAAUUCUUGAAUCAGCUCAUUUUAUUAUUGUUUAGCUAAUUAGGAGGUGGUUGUUAUUAAAUUGGGACAGUUAUUUAGUUGACAUUUUAGUGAUAUGCAGUCAUUUUUUUAUUAAUAAGUGACUGUUUCCAUGAUAAAUAAUUAUGGAAUUUGUAAAGACAUGACCAUAAUGAACAUAAAGAACAUUAGUUUGUAGGGGCGGCUGUGGCUCAGGUGGUAGAGCGGAUCGUCCAAUGAUCAAAGGGUCGGCGGUUCAAUUCCUGCUCUGUCCUAGUCAUGUACUAUUGUGUCCUUGGGCAAGACACUUUACCCACCUUUCCUCCUACUUACACUGAUGUAUGAAUGCUGGUGGUGGUUGGAGGGGCUGUUUGGUGUGGAUUUACAACCACGCUUCUGUCAAUCUGCCCCAGGGCAGCUGUGGCUACAAAUGUAGUUUACCACCAUCAGAGUGAGAAUGUGUGAGUGAAUGAAUAAUGGAUCCAUUGUAUGCACUUUGAGUAUACCUUAAUAGAAAAGCACCAUAUAAAUCUAAUCCAUUAUUAUUAGUUUUUUUUUUACUUUUAAUAAAAAUGUAUGCAAAUGUAGCACUCACUCUGCAAUAGUUCAUUGUUGGCCAUCAAGAAUCCCAACAUGAACAGACCACUGCAAUCAGUCACAAUCAGUCACUUCCACAGUAUUGGACCCAUUCACUGUCACUCACAACACCUGAGCCAAUCACCAGCAGUCUCUCUCCCACCUGGAAUCCACCUGUUCCUUUGUUUGACGCACAUCCAGAUUCACUCAGUCACACACAGUCACUUGAACAGCAGGAUCACCCCACAUUCACUCAUCUCUGGAAACCCGUUCACUUUUCACAAGCCUGGAAUCUUGGAAAUCACAGCAUCAAAGAAAGCCUUCAACUCCACAACCAGCUCUUGGACUUCUGGAUGCCACCAACAUAAACCAAACAUUUUGCUGAACUUUGGUUAGGCUCCUAUGGAUGAUUUGAAUUGAUGGUGAGCUACCCUCCAAAGAACUGGAACAGUCUGAAAAGAUUCACCCUUCACCCACCCCAGUCAUUGGCAGGCCUCAAGCCUUACAGCUUCAUCCCUUCCCCAGCGGUGUGGUGGAAGCUGAAUUAGUGAGGAUGACUCCUGCUCCUGUCAUCUCUAAGCUCCUCACACAUCUUUACCUGCACAUGAGGAAAAUCACUCCUGUAGAAUGCAGAUGUUCAGAGGGAGAUGAUGCCACAUCUGGUCCAGCCGAUGGAAGGUCUUGAAGUUCUCUGACUGGCCUCGACUGAAGAUGGUCGUCUCACUGGAUUUAAGGUUCAGAUGCUCAGUAACAAACUCCACCAAUGAGCCAACAGGGAAGCUUUAGGUUUAUUAAAUGUUGCUAUGAAGGUUUCACAGUUUUUCUUUGUGAAUGCAAUGUGCUCCAACUGAAACUUGAAUUACAACUUAAAAGUAAAUCCUUCCAUCUGAAAGGAUUUAGUUGCAUUAAUAACCUCAUAGCAUUCUAAUUUUUAUUCCAGUCUUGGUUGGAAAUAGAAUCUCUGUAUUGAUUCAGGUAAAAACUGAACUUCACAGCAUGUUGGAGCAAAACAACCAGAUGAAAACUGUGAUGGUGUUGGAUUGUCAGACCAUAAUGUUGCAGCUCAAAGCAGCUUUUCUAUCUCAGUUCAUUCUGACAUUCAGCUAUGAAUCAACACAGCAGAUGGUGAUCCAUGCUGUGGAAGUCUCACAUCUCCUGAUUUAAUGGAGCUGCUUUGCACUUUUUACACUGUUUAUUCACCAACACUUUAUUUAAUAAAAGUCCCAUCUAGUUUUUAUGAGGAAUGUGAUGUUUUAAUUUCUCUGUGAAUAACUGCAGUCUAAUGCAACAGCUGGAGUUGUAACAUCUGUCCUGAUAUUGAUCAUGACGUAUUGAUCAGAAUACUUAUGGUUAGCAGUCAUCCCUGAAGUUUUACAUUAAAAUCUUUACUUGUGUUGUGAACUUUGGUAAGAAGCAGAAACUUUAGCGUUGCCAUGGAUACAUGAGUGUUAAAUUCUGUCCAUGUUUCCAUUUUGGGAAAUGAAGUCCAGCAGAUGAGUUUGUUUUUACUGCCAGCUACCAUUCAGUCUGAGAUAUUAAGAAUAAAUAAAUAUGCAUAAUGUGGAAAUUAACAAUUUUAUUUUUAUUUAUUCCUACAGCUGCAGGGACAGUUCUAGACUGUGGAGGAAUUUAGUCUCAUAAUCACAGACAACAAAUAUUAUCUGAAAGUCGGUUUAUUGUUGUUUAUCAGCACAACACAAAAAGAUUAAUAUUAGAAAUAUUCCAGUUAAGACUCUAGAAUAUCAUGAUUUAUGUAAAUCUACCUCAAUAAUAUAAAUGUUCAGGUUAAGAUUGUGCAGUGAUAUUUAUUCUGUAAGUUUAUCUGAUUAAAGUUUAUGACUCUGCACUAAAAUAUUAUUUAUUAUUUAAAUUUAUAUCCUUAUUAUAAUAUUUAGGGUCAGACUCUACAGUAUUAAGAUUAAGAAAUCAACUAUUCUAUAAAAUGUAAAUACACUGAACUCAUUUGGAUAUAUUUAAGUGAGACUCUACAAUAUUAUUUGACACAAAUCUAUCUAAAUCAAAAUUUUAAUCAUUUUUACUCCAAACAUUUACUGGACUGAUUUAAAUAUUAAAAUCACUCCUUUCUAAUCCUCUGCUGUACGUUCAAACCUGAGGCCUUAAAUAGAAACACACAAGUAUCUGAUUGAAGGAACUUCUGUAGAGUCCUGGUUCCAGAACAUGAUGAUAGAAUUACAGACAAACUUUAACAAAAGCUGCCUGAGAGUUUACAGGUUUUUAUGUUGGAUUUCUUCAGUAAUUUAAUGAGAGUUAUCAGCAAAAAUCAAGUGUUCAUUUGAUGAACUUCAUUUCCUAAAACAUCCAGAAUUGGAGCUCAUAUCUUUGGCAGCUGUAAAGUUUCUGCUCCUUCAAAGUUCACAACACAAUGAAUUAAUUCCUAAAACACUCUCAAUGCUGGAGAGCGUUUGAUGCUGAAGCAGUGACCAGUUUUUCUGUUUCUUCUCUGGAGAUGCACAAUGAGGGAUGUCUGCAGAGACUGAGAAAGAGUUUCACCACAUCCUGACAUGAGGAAAAAGACUUUAUUGAAGACGACAAUGAGGAAAAACUAUCAGACAGCAGACGGCUGCAUUCAAGGUGAGCUCUGAACAUUUGAUCUGGAACAGGAAUUCAAUAACGGCAGCAUGAGCUUCAUUUCAGUCUGUAGCUGCUGAAUUCAUGGAUGAAUCAUCUGGCACUAGAGAAGAAGACCAUCAAACAUCCACGUCAGCUGAUGGAGGUCCAAGAGUCUCACCAAACAAACAACCUACAGAGUGAAGACCUCAAAUCUGAUUGGACGGCCUCCUAUUCAGCCACAUGUGUGAACAAAUGCCUCUAAGUUGAUUUGUUUUCUAAAAUAAAUCUAAUUUGAGUCCUAAUCGA